rnacentral:rRNA from 1 species
AUUGAACGCUGGCGGCAGGCCUAACACAUGCAAGUCGAGCUAGCGGCGGACGGGUGAGUAAUGUAUGGGGACUGCCCGAUAGAGGGGGAUAACUACUGGAAACGGUGGCUAAUACCGCAUACUAUCGGAUAACCCAGAUGGGGUUAGCUAGUAGGUGGGGUAAAGGCUCACCUAGGCGACGAUCUGUAGCUGGGCUGAGAGGAUGAUCAGCCACCCUGGGGCUGAGACACGGCCCAGACUCCUACGGAGGCAGCAGUGGGGAAUAUUGGACAAUGGGGGCAAGCCUGAUGCAGCCAUGCCGCGUGUAGGAAGAAGGCCUUAGGGUUGUAAAGUACUUUCAGCGGGGAGGCGUUACCCGCAAAAGAAGCACCGGCUAACUCCGUGCCAGCAGCCGCGGUAAUUC